AGCGGAGGGGAGUGACCUACAGCCCUACAGGCGAUACACAGUGAAAAAAAUAGCCCCUUCUCUCCCCGCGGUUCCCAGCGCCGCCGCCGCCGCCUCCUCCAGUCCCCCCUGUACUUUCACGAUGCCAGGUGUCCCCGGUGUUCGCCGGCUGGGCCCUAAGGCCAUGGGGUUCCGGGAAGUGAAGACGGCGACAGUGACCCUUGCUUGACCUCCAAAUCUCUCACCAUGCGCUCCUGACUGUGCACCGUCUCGAUUCGCCGGUUGUGGCCGCCGUUGCACUCCCAGUGCGCCCCUUCUCUCGUGGAUGUUCAUUCCAUUGCCAGAGGGAGGAGUAAACAACUGAACGCGGAGACGGGUCCCUCUACCCUAGCUCUGACCGGAGGGUGAAGCGACUAAGAAGUACGAAGGCGUGUGGUUGCAUCGGUGAGGGUUGGCGCGAGCGGAGCUUGAGUCGAUCUUCGAGGGCAGCCACGAUUGAGAUAUGGAGGCUGGAGGAGUGCAGUUUUGGGUCCUCUCCACGGAAAUGCCAGAUGGGCAAGGAGGCAUCCUCAAUAAGAUCCCAGUGUCGUCUGCUCCCUUCAUGCCAGAGCCAGAGACAGAGCUCAUUUUAUCUCUGUUGACCCUCUGAUUGACAUAUGACAAGGUCUGCUCUAUACACAUGCAAAUAACAAGUGGUAUUGUACGGAUGAGACGCAGCUGAAGAAAGAAGGAAAAAUAGACAGUUUCAUGUUACGCAACUUGAACACAGCCUUUCUGGGUGCUACUCUAGCGCAAGCUGAAGCUUUGCUCCAAGACCAACGCCCUCCAAUUCACAUUAUAUUGGUUGACACCUUCAUUGUAAGUCAUUUUCUUUUGAAGCUCUUUGGUAAAAUCUUUUGUUAGUGCGUGUGUAUAUUCCCUAGACGAACUGGAUUCAGAGGAUAAUGUAUGAGCUACGGGUGUGCAAAUAUUCAUCUUGUCCUACAUAUUAAGAAUUAGUUGUGCAUGUGACAUAAUGUUCUUUUAGAUUUAGUCACUUUUUGUAGCA